GACGUAGGGGCCAGCGUUGUUCGGAAUUACUGGGUGUAAAGGGUCAGUAGGCGGUGCGGCCAGUCGGGAGUGAAAUCUCUGGGCUUAACCCAGAGGCUGCUUCCGAAACUGCUGUGCUUGAGUGUGGGAGAGGCGCGUGGAAUUGCAGGUGUAGCGGUGAAAUGCGUAGAUAUCUGCAGGAACACCCGUGGCGAAAGCGGCGCGCUGGACCACAACUGACGCUGAAUGACGAAAGCUAGGGGAGCAAACAGG
rnacentral:rRNA from 1 species